CCAACAACCUUAAUUACAAAAAUCAAAUCACAGGAAACCUCUAUCUGGGCACCACCGACUCAUCUGAUUAUCUAAAAGACUGGCAGUUUUUUCUUUCCCAGCCAGAGCCCUGGUCUUUUGAAAUUCCUAUUAUUUGUUGCCUUUCUUCUAUGAAAUGUCUCACCCACCUGGUUGACUUUUGGUGUAGUACUCAAAUUUUUAAAAGCCAUGAAAUUUAAAAUAUGCUCCCUUUCUGAUAUUGUAGCACGCAAGCAAAUGUAAACUAUUUGAAGCAGCUGAAUGUAAACUAUUUGAAGCAGUGAAUGCUUCGUAGUUGCAAAGUUCAGCUUGGACAGCUGGUGGAACAAAGAAGACCAUGCUGAGGACUCCGUGGAGAGACUAUGAAUGUUCUCUCCUGUGUCUGGCUCUCCCAGGGAGUUCACUUGCAGAAUCAAAUGAAAACCAAUCCCUUUUAUGCAAACCUUCCUGAAGCAGCAGGGCUAUGUUUGGUCCCAAGAGCGGAGGUUCGUGCAGUGGAAGCCCUGGUGGUGAUUUCUCUCUACCCAGGCCUUGCCAAGGUCCUCCCCACCACGCAGUGAUGAAAGGAAGGAUCAAACAGCUCUCUCAAAGCCAAGCUCCAUCAGACCUGCCUUUGCUAAAUAUAGUGCACUUCAAUAAACACCAUUGUGAAUUUGCAGUUUGCUUG